UUUUUUACGCUUUCAGUCUGCAAAGGAGAUUGCGAGUCGCCGACCUCUCUGGAGGGCCGCGUGAAGCGAGUCGCCGUCGCUCCGACGGGGCCCCUUCGGCUACAAGAUUCCGUCCUCUGACUCCUCCGCCUAUGGCUGCCGGCCGGCUCUUCCCUCGAUCUCCAAUGCUUCCCGUUUAGGCAGCAGAAUUGAUCCUGGACCUCCUCCUCCUGAUGGUCUUCUUCUUCUUAGCCCUCACCCUCUUCCUUUACCUGGGUGUCGAGUUCCCCAGGGCUUCCCCUCUCCUGUCGCCGCCGCCCAACAGGGCGUCAAUUUUCGUGGGUCUCAUCCGCCAUCACAGAUCGCUUCAUCGAUUAACUUUAUUUCUUUUGGCGGAAUACUUAUGGUAGUGCGAUUAAGCUGAUCCCCGGAGAGGACGAAGUUUGGGGUUGCACUCGCGGGAUCUGCCGUAGAGCUCCAGGAGCGGCAGCAGUCUGUUCGAUUAGCUGGCUACUGGUUGGCCUUGUUGUGGUGGGUCAAAUCCCAGCAUUGAAGCUAGCACCAGCUUCCUGAUCUUUUCAGGUUGCAUGAAGUCUUGCAAUUGCAAUCUACUUUUCGUCAUAUACAGGCAUGGUUUACCUUGGUGUCGAGUAACUGGAACAAAAGGAAUUUUUGCUGGCUCUUGAAGUCGCGGAGAAAGGUCUUUGAUUUCUAGAAGAUGGAUUGUGGACUGGAGCUGCUUCCAACAGAUAUAGGUGUUCUUAUGACCAACACCAGUAUAAAAGACAAUCAUCAUCCAAGUUGCUGCAAUGAUUGAAUGUCACUCAAUGAAAAACCAAUGGUGAGCUCCUUUGGAGGAGAGGGAGAGUUUAAUACUGGAGACCUUUGGCGGUUGGAGAUCGAGAGAAGUGGGAAAACAUGUAGACUAGACCAAAGGGUAAGACUGCAUCACGUUGAUACUGGUGGUUAUCGACACAAGCAUGACGAGAUAUACGCGAAAAUGGACCACACAAAUCUCGGUUUCCAAGUGUCUUACUUCAAAAAAAAAAAAGAAUAAAUAAAACAACAUCACAAGAAAACUCCAGUGGAUGAGUCUCUUGAAUUUGUCAGAAGCAAUCUAUUAAUGUCCGGUUAGCGGAGCUGAGACUUUAUCUUUCGAUCAAUGCAACCAAGUGAUGUGCUACCGAAAUAUUUUCUGCAUUACUUGCUGCUGGAGUGACUUCCAAAUGUAACUGACCUGAAAGCUUCAAUAAGAUGGCCUAUUGAGCUUGUGCACAUUCACCAGCAUGUCGAUCGUGAUAUUUCUCACAUGCAGCAACAUGACAGCAGCUAUUGAAGCGAUGAUUCGGAGUUAGCAUGAAGAAACUCUGUUAUUGGCAGUUUGUUCAAUCUCGAAGGAUCAGCAUAAAUCGCAUUGACUUGUGGACUGCCCUUCUCGGUAGAUCUCAGGCCCAAACUGCCAAGUUUGAGUCUUCUGCAAGUGAACGUCGUCAAUCUUUGGGCUCGACCUAUCGUUGAUGAAGUCCUCAGAAACGAAACCAUAAUUUCCCUCCUCUAUGUAAGUGUCAUUUUUUUUUUUUUUUUAAAUACUGUUUGAAACUUUACCUCUUGUCCCAUUCUCCAAAAGAAUCAAAGCUUUCAGCUCACGGGCUGUUCGGCAAAGGACUGCGAGGCUGCAGGGUUGGUCGGCUUAAUUUCCUGGCGCUCUCCAACCCUCUUCUCGCUGCUGUCAGAGGGUUAUCAAAUCAUAGCUGCCCAUCUCUAAUGCAGCAGGAAAACGAAGACUGAUAAGGCAGCUCGUGAGGCGAUGGUGAAUCCCACACACAAGCCGGGCCACCAACUUUUCGCUGAUCGAUGCUUUUAUGACUGCUGCUGCUACUGCCACCGUUAUUACUGUUACCGCUACUAUUUUUAUACAAAGCGAAUGUAUGAUAGAGGUGCUUCAUGUGAUGAUACUAAGAGGAGAGAUAUCAAAAUUUUCCUUGGAUGGUCCUCAUCUGAUGAGCCAGGUUUGUUGAGAGUUUAUAACUAGAGUAAUAAGUGAAUAUUUUUGUUAUGAUAAUUAUCAUAGUAAUAACAUUUACAAUUCAUGAUUUCAUGAUUGUAGAGGGAUCUUUGUUAGAAUAUGUGGUCCUUUUAUAAUUGAAUAAGAUAUAUAAUAGAAUAACUAAUUGGGUUCCGUUCAGAUAUUUAGUCAAGACUAAGUCCACUACGGAACGAUUCCUCGGAAAUAUUCUUGAUGGGAGGAAAUCUAUCUCGUUGUAGACCCUCUGUUCUCGCCUAUAAAAGCAUAUAAAAAGACAGGAUCUCUAGGGGUUGAGGGUGUGUUAGUGUGUUAGAGCGUGAUAACGUUGACACGUAUAGACGUACAUCUCUGUUGAUGGAUUCAGUUAUUCUCUUCGAGUCUCUCCCUGAAAGGAAGAGAGGAGAAAUGGUCUACUCUCCGUACUCCCUGCAGAUUCCGCAGCGCGAUCGGAUUAAAGACGGAGCCUGCAGAUUAAAGAUGGUGCUUAGCAGAUCUACAGGAUCUCUGAACAUAUGACAUCAAAAGAAGGAAACCACAAGACCCAUCCCAUUUGCAAUUAUGUUGAUAUCUGAACGAAGAGGAGACUAAAGUGACUUCAACGUUUCUCCACGGAAAUAAAGGCGAUGGUACCGGUCCUUGACUUUCAUUUCCCAUGAACUGGUCCAAGGUGCGUGUACGUCUUCAUCAAUGGUGGAAAACUUAUCGAUUCCCAGUGAUCUGGUUGCCCUACAUGACUACGACAGGUAAGGAAACAACAGGCACUCUCGUGUGUAUAUAUGUGUGGCGUCCUAUUGAUUUCCCCACUGUCGAUGCUGCCAAAAUCAUUUUUAGAUAUUCAAAGGACAACAACGCAUGGCAUUUUCUCUCACGACAAGAUUUACAUUAUUGCUCA